rnacentral:rRNA from 1 species
AACAAACGCUGGCGGCGUGCCUAAUACAUGCAAGUCGAACGGGGAAAGCUUUCGGGUGAGUACUAGUGGCGCACGGGUGAGUAACGCGUGGAUAAUCUGCCUUAGAGUGGGGGAUAACUAGUCGAAAGAUUAGCUAAUACCGCAUAAGACCACAAGAACUGCGGUUCAAGAGGUCAAAGGUUUUUCGCUCUAAGAUGAGUCCGCGUAAGAUUAGCUAGUUGGUGAGGUAACGGCUCACCAAGGCAACGAUCUUUAACUGGUCUGAGAGGAUGAUCAGUCACACUGGAACUGAGACACGGUCCAGACUCCUACGGAAGGCAGCAGUAGGGAAUAUUGCACAAUGGAGGAAACUCUGAUGCAGCGACGCCGCGUGAGUGAUGAAGGCCUUCGGGUCGUAAAGCUCUGUCGCAGGGGAAUAACACAAUGAAUGUACCCUGUAAGAAAGGAUCGGCUAACUUCGUGCCAGCCGCCGCGGUAAAAC